rnacentral:rRNA from 1 species
AACGAACGCUGGCGGCGUGGAUAAGACAUGCAAGUCGAACGGGACAAGUAGCAAUAUUUGUCUAGUGGCGAACGGGUGCGUAACACGUGGGCAACAUGCCUGGAAGAGCGGGAUAGCCCGGGGAAACUCGGAUUAAUACCGCAUGUGACAACGGGGCGGAUUCGCCCUGUUUUCAAAGGUGGGGACCGCAAGGCCUGCCGCUUCCAGAUUGGCCCGCGUCCUAUCAGCUAGUUGGCGGGGUAACGGCCCACCAAGGCGACGACGGGUAGCUGGUCUGAGAGGACGACCAGCCACACCGGAACUGAGACACGGUCCAGACACCUACGGGUGGCAGCAGUCGAGAAUCUUUCACAAUGGGGGAAACCCUGAUGGAGCGACGCCGCGUGGAGGAUGACGGUCUUCGGAUUGUAAACUCCUGUCAUGAAAGAACAAGCGGAGUGGGUGAACAGCCCGCCGAGUUGAUAGUAUUUCAAGAGGAAGGGACGGCUAACUUCGUGCCAGCCGCCGCCGUAACAC